CCUACGGGAGGCAGCAGUGGGGAAUAUUGGACAAUGGGGGGAACUCUGAUCCAGCGACGCCGCGUGAGUGAAGAAGUAUUUCGGUAUGUAAAGCUCUAUCAGCAGGGAAGAAAGAAAUGACGGUACCUGACUAAGAAGCCCCUGCUAACUACGUGCCAGCAGCCGCGGUAAUACGUAGGGGGCAAGCGUUAUCCGGAUUUACUGGGUGUAAAGGGAGCGUAGACGGCGAUGCAAGUCUGAAGUGAAAGGCGGGGGCCCAACCCCCGGACUGCUUUGGAAACUGGAUGGCUGGAGUGCAGGAGAGGUAAGUGGAAUUCCUAGUGUAGCGGUGAAAUGCGUAGAUAUUAGGAGGAACACCAGUGGCGAAGGCGGCUUACUGGACUGUAACUGACGUUGAGGCUCGAAAGCGUGGGGAGCAAACAGGAUUAGAUACCCGUGUAGUC
rnacentral:rRNA from 1 species